UCCAGUGUUGUAGGAGGCCGUUGCUCACUCACGAAGGAGGAAAACACAAAAAACCUAAGAUGUCUUUGUGCAAACGUCACUUCACCUGAAAGGUUUCAAGGCCUGGGUUUGUUUCUUGAGGAAAGAAUUCAAAGGAAAAGAGAAGGGGAAAAGUGUGACAAAGGAAUCAAUGAACCUAGGGAUACCUAUCAUGAAAGUUCCCCUAAAGAAUCUGCUAGAGUGAGAGAAGAGCUCAAGUUGCCACGACUCCGUCUGUGAUACGAAAAGAGGAACCACAAGAGCUUCAUUUUGAUUUUGAAAUGUUCCUCUCCCCUUCGGUUCCAGCUUACAAAAGUGUUUGCGGUUUUGCUCGGUUGAUUUUCUGCAUGUGUACUUAUAGUUUGUAUGGAAAUGCACUAAAAAUGAGUUGCCCUACCCGGGAAGGCUUUAUAUUGUAUAGAAAAUGUGGCACUAGGUACUGCUCUUCACGUGCACAGGAGAGUUAACAGGUGUCAGUCUCGUUUACAGAAAUGAUGGAGCUUUGCAAUUCCUAUAAUAUAUUGCAAUAUAUUUAAAUGUCCUGUUUGACAUGUGAAAUGAAAUUAAGUUAAUGCGUUGUAAUGUAUUUGAAGUACGAGGAAGACGAUUCACUAACAACCAGCAAGGUUUUCAGAAGGUGUCUGGUAUGUAGCAGUCUGUGUGAUCUGUCUGGUGUACCUGAUGCUGAAGGAAGUAACAAAACUGUUACCGUUCAGAUGAAGAGUUUCUCUCGGCUGAUGCAAUAGCUUACAGUGUCUUUCCUUCGUAGCUGCCCACAGGGGCGAAGGGGAAGCAAUUCUUGAAACAGUUCAAGAUAACUGGUUAACUGUGAAUGGGCCUAAUCUUUGGUGAAACCAAGAACAUUUUUGGACACACACAGGACUUGAAUACUCAAAAGGAUUGGAACUUAGUGUUGUGCCAAAGUUAAACUACUGCAGUUGGCAGAAGUUCUGCACUGUAAAUACAAGACUGAUUAAAAGACAGCUUGUAAAAAAAA